UCCUUCUUCUUAAGCACUCUGCUAAAAUGACAAAGUUCAGGUCCCCUGUCUUUUGUGAUAAUGCCAGUAGAGUACACCGGGGAAGGAGAACAAUUGCACAAUGCUAUGCAGCUAGGAUGGACUACCUUCAGUGUCCAGUGUCCUUUGACUUCAGACUGUGCUACAAUU